CCGCCCAUAGCUCAGCCGGUAGAGCAGCUCCCUUUUAAGGAGAAGGUCCUAGGUUCGAUUCCUAGUGGGCGGA
rnacentral:tRNA from 1 species